rnacentral:rRNA from 1 species
CGCGAAACCUUUACACUGCACGACAGUGCGUUAGGGGAACUCCGAGUGCGAGGGCAUAGAGCCCUCGCUUUUCUGCACCGUAAGGUGGUGCCGGAACAAGUGCUGGGCAAGACCGGUGCCAGCCGCCGCGGUAAUACCGGCAGCACGAGUGAUGGCCGAUCUUAUUGGGCCUAAAGCGUCCGUAGCUGGCCGUGCAAGUCCGUCGGGAAAUCCAGUGGCUCAACCUCUGGGCUUCCGGCGGAAACUGCUCGGCUUGGGACCGGAAGACUCGAGGGGUACGUUCGGGGUAGGAGUGAAAUCCCGUAAUCCUGAACGGACCACCGAUGGCGAAAGCACCUCGAGAGCACGGAUCCGACAGUGAGGGACGAAAGCUAGGGUCUCGAGCCGGAUUAGAUACCCGGGUAGUCCUAGCUGUUAACGAUGCCCGCUCGGUUCGGCGCAGGCUACGAGCCUGUGCCGCGCCUCAGUGAAGACGUAAGCGGGCCGCCUGGGAAGUACGUCCGCAAGGAUGAAACUUAAAGGAAUUGGCGGGGGAGCACUACAACCGGAGGAGCCUGCGGUUUAAUUG